GGUUUAAUUCGAAGCAACGCGAAGAACCUUACCAAGUCUUGACAUCCCGAUGACAAGCUAUGUAAUGUAGCCUCUCUUCGGAGCAUCGGUGACAGGUGGUGCAUGGUUGUCGUCAGCUCGUGUCGUGAGAUGUUGGGUUAAGUCCCGCAACGAGCGCAACCCCUGUUCUUAGUAGCCAGCGGUUCGGCCGGCACUCUAGGGAGACUGCCAGGGAUAACCUGGA
rnacentral:rRNA from 1 species